AUGCAUCUCAAAACAUUAAACUGGGCAAAAGUCAUCAGACACAAAAGAGUACAUACUGUAGCACAUGAGCGAAGCGGUGGGGAGCAGGCACAGGACUGGGAUGCUGUGGCCCCCAAGAGGCCCUGAGUUGGGGCAGGAAACAAGAUCGGAGGCUGUAGGCUUAUUGUGGUGCUGGAAGGGGCCAGUCUGGAGACAGUCAAGGUAGGGAAGACACGUGAGCUACUCAACUGUGACAAGCACAAGUCUACAUUGCUGAAGAAUGGACGGGACCCCGGGGAAGGGCGGCCAGACAUAGCCCACCAGUUUACUGAUGCUGAUGGAAAGUCCCCUGAACCGAGCUGGCUUGCUGCAAGUUUAUAUCCACAAACAGAAGAAUGUUCUGAUUGAAGUGAACCCCCAGACCCGAAUCCCCAGAACCUUUGACCGCUUUUGUGGCCUCGUGGGUAAAUAAGAAUCCAGUAUCAGAUAGAUCACUUUCCAGUUGGAUGUCUGAAAGUUGGCACUUCUUUUUCCAUCCCGGUUGUCAGUGAUCUGUGAGCUAGUGCCCAGUGUUAGCUAGUACCCAGCAGUGAUCCUACUGUUUCUGUGGUGGGGGCCUUUGCCCAUGGUAAGGUCAGUGUGGAGUAUACAAAGAUGGUGUCUAUCAGCAACUAUCCUCUUUCUGCUGCCCUCAUCUGUGUAAAACUUACCACAGCCUUUGAGGAAGUACGGGGGGUCAUUUGACAGUAGUAGAACCUGUUCUGAAACCAGAAACUAUUGAUGUUACAUCCUUUGACCCUGGUCUGAGCUGACUGCUAGAAGAUAAUCUUUCUGCACUGAGACUGCGGAGUUUGGGGAGCCAAGGCUGUACAUUUGCUAUUUGUUUAUCCUAUGAAUACUGC